rnacentral:rRNA from 1 species
GAACGCUAGCUACAGGCUUAACACAUGCAAGUCGAGGGGCAGCAUUUCAGUUUGCUUGCAAACUGGAGAUGGCGACCGGCGCACGGGUGAGUAACACGUAUCCAACCUGCCGAUAACUCGGGGAUAGCCUUUCGAAAGAAAGAUUAAUACCCGAUGGUAUAAUCAGACCGCAUGGUCUUGUUAUUAAAGAAUUUCGGUUAUCGAUGGGGAUGCGUUCCAUUAGGCAGUUGGUGAGGUAACGGCUCACCAAACCUUCGAUGGAUAGGGGUUCUGAGAGGAAGGUCCCCCACAUUGGAACUGAGACACGGUCCAAACUCCUACGGGAGGCAGCAGUGAGGAAUAUUGGUCAAUGGGCGCAGGCCUGAACCAGCCAAGUAGCGUGAAGGAUGACUGCCCUAUGGGUUGUAAACUUCUUUUAUAUGGGAAUAAAGUUUUCCACGUGUGGAAUUUUGUAUGUACCAUAUGAAUAAGGAUCGGCUAACUCCGUGCCAGCAGCCGCGGUAAUACGGAGGAUCCGAGCGUUAUCCGGAUUCAUUGGGUUUAAAGGGAGCGUAGGUGGACAGUUAAGUCAGUUGUGAAAGUUUGCGGCUCAACCGUAAAAUUGCAGUUGAUACUGGCUGUCUUGAGUACAGUAGAGGUGGGCGGAAUUCGUGGUGUAGCGGUGAAAUGCUUAGAUAUCACGAAGAACUCCGAUUGCGAAGGCAGCUCACUGGACUGCAACUGACACUGAUGCUCGAAAGUGUGGGUAUCAAACAGGAUUAGAUACCCUGGUAGUCCACACAGUAAACGAUGAAUACUCGCUGUUUGCGAUAUACAGUAGGCGGCCAAGCGAAAGCAUUAAGUAUUCCACCUGGGGAGUACGCCGGCAACGGUGAAACUCAAAGGAAUUGACGGGGGCCCGCACAAGCGGAGGAACAUGUGGUUUAAUUCGAUGAUACGCGAGGAACCUUACCCGGGCUUAAAUUGCAUUUGAAUAUAUUGGAAACAGUAUAGCCGUAAGGCAAAUGUGAAGGUGCUGCAUGGUUGUCGUCAGCUCGUGCCGUGAGGUGUCGGCUUAAGUGCCAUAACGAGCGCAACCCUUAUCUUUAGUUACUAACAGGUCAUGCUGAGGACUCUAGAGAGACUGCCGUCGUAAGAUGUGAGGAAGGUGGGGAUGACGUCAAAUCAGCACGGCCCUUACGUCCGGGGCUACACACGUGUUACAAUGGGGGGUACAGAAGGCAGCUACCUGGUGACAGGAUGCUAAUCCCAAAAGCCUCUCUCAGUUCGGAUCGAAGUCUGCAACCCGACUUCGUGAAGCUGGAUUCGCUAGUAAUCGCGCAUCAGCCAUGGCGCGGUGAAUACGUUCCCGGGCCUUGUACACACCGCCCGUCAAGCCAUGAAAGCCGGGGGUACCUGAAGUACGUAACCGCAAGGAGCGUCCUAGGGUAAAACUGGUAAUUGGGG